GCGCGGUGACGUCAGCGCCCGGGGGCGCGGCGGGGAACCCGGAAGUGGAGCGGGAAGGGCGGCGGCGGCGCUCGGCCUCGGCCUACCCGCCCCGUUCCCUGAAAAAACGGCUUUGGGGGGGGGGUUGGGGGGGGGCCUGGAGCUGCCCGGUGAGGCCUUGGGUCGGCGAAUCCCGCCAGGGCACCGCUGAUCACGGACCGGGCCGGUAACGGUAUCCAGAGCUGUGGCAGGCUCUGCUCAGAGGGCAGGUGUCCCCGGGGGAAGGCCGUGGGCCCGCUCCCGAGUUUGCGUUUGGAUAGGAAUUUGCGUAAAGGAAUGACGUGGGGUGAAGCGUUUCGCGGCAGGUGUCUCGGGCGCCUUCGGAAAUGGGCGAGGACGGCAUCGCGUUUGGCCUACGCUAAAACUCCGAAACUCCGACCGCCACGAGCGGUCCCGGCACCCUUGCUCUGGCACAGCAAGAGGAAGCGCAUUGAGCUUCACCUCAGGGGAAGGCUGUGAGCUGUUCCCUGUCCCAACGACAACCCAGAGAGGCCACAUACCAUGCGUGCGGCUGAAAUGUUCCACCCCCUCUUAGCUCCCGGUCACAACUGAUGGCCACGUCUGUUGAAGUAGAGCCGUGGGAGAAGAUGAAACAUUUCUCAUCCAGGUUGCUCCCAGCUGCCCUCUCUGUUACGACCGAAAGCAGCAAGCUUGUAUGUUCUGCUCUCAGUGGCCUUCUGCAACACCCAAGGAAGGAAUAAGUGAAAUAUUUUCCUUCUUCACUGCAGAAGAUACUAUAAUGUAUUGGAGAACUUGUCUACUUAAAUUUUACAAAUCGUGUUUGGUAUUUUGAGCCUCUUGAUUGAGCCAGUAUUUUCCCUGUACUUCCCAUGUUGAAAAAAAGCAGUGCUUAGAUGUCUGUCUUUUGAUGAGACGUUUGGGAUGCCAUAUGACAGUGCUGUGACUGAGGUCUAGCCCAUCAGCUCUGACUAUUAUUUGAGCAAAACUGAGGAAGUCAGGGUUGGAAAUCAUUUCAUGAACAUUUUCAGGUAACUGUACUCAUGUAAGCAACCUUGUCCUCUCACUUGAAGUUCAUGCUGUCUCUGGCAAGUACUGCUAAAUUGCAAAGUGAACCUGGUUAGGACUGAUUCAAGUUAAAAGUAGUGGGUUUUGUUGGGGUCUUAAUCUGCUUCGCUAUCAUUCUCCACCUCCUGCAGCUCCCACCAAAAAAAACCCCAAAACAACCAAAACCCCCCAACAACAAGAAAAAUGAACCGGUAGAAUGUAGGAGUCAGGAACAAGUUUCAGGGGCAGCUUGCAUGAGCAGUACAGCUAAAAAAGCCACUUGACACAGCCACUUACAGUUGCAGGUCCAGGGAAGGAUGUAAGGAGGAAAAGUUCAUCAGAACAAGGGGCGGUGGGGGAGUGGUUUUGGAGAUGCUUGACCAGCAAAGAAGUACUGACCAUAGAUUUAAAGCUCUUCGUAUUACGAAGAGAUAGCAGGUUGAAAGCAGAGGUCUCCAAGUCUCGUUAGAGAACUGACCCCAAAAUUCCAAAUAUCAGCAGCAAAGAGGAAACAGAGGUAGUGUGUGGUAGAUAGUCAGUCGCUGCAAGCUGGGCUUUUAUCUUUUGUUUGCAUGUAGGACUGUGGAGUUCUGGUGUCUUCACAGGCUUCUGUGAUCUACAGUAAUACCAGUAAUAGGCUCAUACUAGCAAAAAUACUAAUCUGCAUGCUUACUGUUGUACCUAAUCAAAUGGAGUGUUUUGAUUCUUUUUCAAAAUCUGUGUCUGUUUUCUUCUUCAGUCUUCUAUCCCUCCUAAUGCUAGAGCAUUCCUAGAUGGAUACAGAUAUGUUGCUUAAGCCCCGUGUUUUAGACCUGUUUAUUUAUUGCUUGUUGAAUGUCCAGUAAGGUUUUUGAGUUCAGUUUGCAGAAAUAGGAAGUGUGAGUAGUUACAUCUGAAAUAGAUGGAAGCUGUGAUUUGCCUAGAUGAGGUGCUGUAGUAUGUCAGAUAUGUUAAAAGUUAGGUCUGCAUUACUUUUGGUUGCGCAUCCAAGAUUAUUGAAACGGCUUUGCCUCAAUUUCAGUUCACAAUUUAAGCAAAAACGUCAUUUACUUAUGUGUAUUAUGGGAAGGCAGGUUAAAAUUUAAAACACUCACGUGCAGUAGAAAUAAAUUCCAUAAAAUAUCUUCAACGUUUAGGAUUUUACCCGUGUCUGGUAAAUGGAGCUGCACUUCAAAGAACAUAGAGAAAACAAGGCGUUGAACUGCUGGUUAUUACAUUAGCACUAUUCAUCCCGUGUUGCAUUUGAAACAACAGUACCCUGCAAAAAAGAGUAUGUGGUCAUGUAAUGAAAACUGUCUUGGGCUGCAUGUUGUUAAUGACUGCCAGUGUGUCUCGAGUCUGUAGGAGGUUACAGACCUAGUUAAAACUGGUGGGUGGAUUCAGCAUUUGUUAACGUUGUCCUUCAAGUCUAGAUAGCCUCUGUAGGAGGGAACAUGAAGAAGUUAAAACUGCAUAGAAAAAACAUCCUUUCUGUAUAAAUUCUUUCCAAAUAAGCUGGAUUGCAGCAACUCAUACCCAGCUGGGAUGACCCCCCAUAGACUGCUCAGUUACUCAAUACUAGGCAGAGCUAGACGAGAUUUUUAUAUAUAUCUGUAUAUACUACUUAUAUAAAGAUUUUUAUAUACGUGAACAUAGAUAAAAAUAGAAAGUGUGGUAAGCUGCAGAGUGGUGCUACCCAGAGCAGAUCAUGUCAUUCCAGUAUGAUAGCAAUUUCUUACACAAGAGUAAAUCAACGCCCUGAUGUAUCUAAACUGAAGUAAAAGAACUGAUUCCCCAUGGGGAGUAUUACUGAAGGUGGGGAUGAUGAUAAUUCAGACCAGAAUUACCUGGUAAGGUGGAUGUGGACUGGCUAAGGAGGAGACUGCAAAAACCUAAGCUGAAAGGCAGUUAUCAGGUAGGUAGGAGAGAAGUGAACAGGAACAUUCUUUGGGGAUUGUGAUUAGUUUUCGGACAUGAUAUGUGCAAUAUAGUCAUUAAUGAGACAGAGAUAAGAAUUUGAUGUGCAUCCAUGAAAUCUGCAGAUGACACUAAGUUGAAAGGUAUUACGAGUAAUGAUCUUGACUAGAGAGAAAUGGGAUGAAAUUUAACAGCAUAAAGUUCAAAAUCAGGCACUGAAAGAACAGAAAACCUUUCCUAUGAACUCAUUAGUUAGGCUAAAUGAGGAGGAAAGAGGUCUUUCUUAGGGACAUUAAGAUUUCUUGAAGACCUCACGAGACCUGACUUUCUGUGUCUCACCACGAGGGUUAAGCCAAUAGCCAGAUGGUCACAGAUCUGCAGGAGAGAGGCAUUUCUCUUUUUUCUAGUAUGAACUAGACAUCUAUCAUGUGUUUGCCUGGACUUGAUCCCUAAAGGAGUCCUUUCUGUUACCAUGCCUUUGUUUUUUCCCUCCCAAAAUAUAAAUAAUAAAACAAAGGCCAGCAACUGUGUUCCUCUCCCAUGAAACAAUUAGGAAAUUGAAUUUGAAAGAGAGGGAGUCUCGAAGAGAAAAAUUGUCAACUGCUAGUCACGUGAAAUAGCAGCGACACUGCACUGAAAACAGCACAGAGAGGAAAAAAGAAAAUCAAACUCAGAAACAAGACCCAGAGACUUUCAAGAAAGCCACUAAACUAAUAGUACCUUGGAAGGAAGGGGCCUGGGAUGCGCUGGGAACAUGAGAUAAGCAGGCCAGCGGACUGAUGAAGGAGGCACCGACCUGGGCGAGUGGCUCUGCGAGUGUCUGUCUGCAGCACGGAGAUGAGAAAAGCUGUUCUCACCAAGGGCUGCAGUCUGCAUGACAGAACAUGAAAUUUUCAGUGCUGUCAGUAUGAAAAUACUAUUUUUUUUUUUUUAAAUUUAGAGGCAAAAAAUGUAACUCAGAAGAACUGUAUCGAACACGAGAGAAGUUAUUUUAAGACUUCAUCAUCAUAUCUAAAGAGGAGCACACCAGGGGAACCAAAUAUUUGUCGUGUCUAUGACAAGUGAUCAUGGUCUGAAGACAGUUCUUAUUACAGUAACAUAAAUACUGCUUUAACAAGGCUUAUUUCAAAUGGCUGAAAAAAAUGUCAAGUCUCAUCAACUCAAAAAAUUGAACAGAAAAGCUGAAUGAAAAUAUUAUGAAUGAAAUCAUUUUGAACCCCAAAAUGUAAGCUUCUGGUAUUUAAUACUGUAGCUUAGUGGAAACAGGGAAGAAACUCUUAAGGUCCUAAAUAUAAAUGCAGAAUAAACAAAAAGGGAAUUUAGUAAUGGAUACCAAGGAAGCUAGGAAUUAUUUGAAACUUAGGUGAGAAGAGAGUCAAAGCAUAAAAGGGGAAAAGCUUCAAUAUGCAGUAUUUUUAAUUCCCAUUCUUUGCAUACAUUGUUUAUGAUGUGCUCUUUGUUGUCCUAGAUUUUAUUUGUUUCUGUUGAUUUUAUUUAUGUUUUUUGUCUUUUUAAAAGCUGCCUGCAAAACUUCAGCUGGCACAAAGACACAGAAACAGCAAGAUAGGACAAGAAAUUCAGAAUGACAGAAGGCGCCUUGUCUUUUUUUUUCUAUUUUUUUUAUACCACCCGCUCACAAUUAAAACUUUAUCUCCUCCAGAUGACACACAGAAGGUGGGCAGGAUUUUAGAAGCAGCUGAUAGAUGAUUGUAGCAAGUAGGAUGUCUGAUUUUAAUAGCUAUCCUGCAAUGCAACUUUCAUAAGCAGUUGUUAAAUCCUCCUGUGGUUCAGUGCUGGUAGAACACCACAGCCCUUUCUUCAGAAGUACCUACGUUUCUGCUUUCAGCACCUGACAGCGUGAAGUGCUAACAUCUUUAGUUCUCAGUCAGAUUACUGCUGGUUAAGAGCACGCUAAACCUUGCAAACGCAGUUUGCAACAGGGGCACCCAAGUAUACUGAGACUUUUAUUUGAAUUUACAUUUGCAAAAUGGUCUGUUUAUUGCACUUGAGCUUUGCGCUGAAUCCUGAAAUUGAAGGAUGUGAUCCAGUUUAGGAAUCCUUUGCUGUGACAAAAAGAUGCAAACGGUAUCAGGAUAGAGAAGAAUCACAUGAAAAAAUGCAUUAUACUUUUGCUUUGUCCUACUGACUAUCUGAUGUCACCUACUUUAUGAAAAUCACAAGGUAUUAUUUAAUGCUGAGCAAUGUGUUUGCACAAUAGAGCCCUCACUACUGAGAAACUUCAACCUAGCUCGUCAGAGGCAGAUCUGGAAAACAUACCAAUUUUUUUAAUCUUUAAGAUUAAUUUUUUUGUCAAUGACAGCUGCUAUUUCCAGAGGUUAAAAAAAAUAAAAGGCAUAGCCUUGUCAUCUAGCAGUUGCAUUUAAGAAUAGCAGCCUUUAGGAUGUGUGAUUCUUGGGAAAAGUUAUCCUGUGUCUUUUGGGACACAAAAAUUCCUUCUGAGGCUAAGCCCAAAAGAAAAGAUAGUGGGAGAAAAAAAAAAAAAUCUCUUUAGAAUUCCCUUUGUAGCUUCUGUUCAUUUGUUCUUUUGGCUUGACAUCGAUGGAAUAGGCUUUUUGUGUACCAUGUACAGCGCAUAAAUACAGAGACUGCAUUUCAUGAAAAAUAAAAAUACGUUAGCUUUCCUGAAAAAGAUGAUGUGUUACCUUUUGAGAAACACUUUUCAUAAAAAUUAAAUUAGAAACGUUAAAAAAAAAGUGAAAUACUGAAAACUCAUGAAAACCCAACAUUGUUCUUGAGUGCUCUGCAAGGCUGAAACACCUCUCUUUUGGCUUGAAAGUUUUCUUUAAUUCAAAAUUCUUAUUUGGCUUGUUGUUUACACCCUGAAUCUGUUUCUUAUGUCUUAUUCCUGGAUAAUUUAUUUUGGUUCCUGCUAUUGUGCCAAAAGUAUGAUACACAAAUAUUCUCAAAUUUGUCUUCAGCAGUUUUUGCUGAAACUCGAACAUACAUAAAUCUGUCGUGACAUUCACUCUUAUGCUUCAUUAUAUGUUCUCAAGAGUUUUUACAGUCUGUUACGUCUUUGUUUUUCACUUACUGCUUUUGCAUUUGUGGUAAAGAUUAAAUAUAUAUGAUCUAUAUUUCAAGUUACCACUCCUAAUUCUUUGGUCCUGUAUAUAGUUGUUCAGAAAAAUGCCAGACUGAUAUGAAAAGUUUUGGUGGAAUGAAACAAAGAUUGAAAGCAACGCUAUUGACAGAACUUUAUGGUCUGUGUUCUACUACUUACUCUGUAGAUAUAUGGGUUUACGACGUAAACCUUGCAAAGUUAUUUCACUGCUGUUACAUGUGCAAACAAUUUAAUUGUACUUUGAAUUUUGAAAUAUUGGCUCUCAAUAUAUGAUUACACGAUUUAUUUUUGCAAGAACGUAUGUAGCAUACCUAUAAUUUUUCAGUUCCAAACUAUCAAUCCCUCAACUCCACAAAUGAUUUUUGAAUAAAUUAUGCAUGUUAGAGCAGAUGACUGCUCCGGGGUAUUAUAUAACUUUUUUAAAAAUUGUACAACUGUCAUCUAAACAAUUUGUGUACACAUAAAAUGGAAAAGCAAAUACAUGUA